GACGAAGGUGGCGAGCGUUGUUCGGAAUCACUGGGCGUAAAGCGCGCGUAGGCGGCUUUGCAAGUGCGGCGUGAAAGUCCUGGGCUCAACCCAGGAACUGCGUCCAAGACUGGGAGGCUUGAAUCCGGGAGAGGGAUGCGGAAUUCCAGGUGUAGCGGUGAAAUGCGUAGAUAUCUGGAGGAACACCGGUGGCGAAGGCGGCAUCCUGGACCGGUAUUGACACUGAGGCGCGAAAGCCAGGGGAGCAAACGGG
rnacentral:rRNA from 1 species